rnacentral:lncRNA from 1 species
GUACAGGAGUCCUGUGGAUGGGCAUGGGUCCAGUCCACCAAGCCCGUGGUGACCCAACCUGAGGACUGAUAGCUCUCCUCUUUCCACACAGAUGCCCUGAAGUGUCCACGCAGAAGCCCAGUGAGGAAGGGAAAUCUAACUCCUCAGAGCCCCAGGUGAGGCUGGCCUCCCUGUCCUUCCUGCACCAACACUCUCUGGGGAUGUGACUGCGAGGGAUCCAGUUCUGGCCCCACCAGACGUGGCCCCCUGAUUGGACAGUGCUGGUGGGAUGGUCGUAUCCCAAACCCCAGCCUGAAAACCACACUUCUUAGGAGUAUGCUGCUGCCUCUCUGGCCCUCCGGCUCAGUGCAGAAGGCAGGGACCCCACCUGCAAACCCCCAAGGGUCUUGCAGGCCAGGGUCAGCCCUGACUUUCUCUCUCAGGUGGCCCUGGGAUGCCCGGCUGCCCCCCCACUCUGUGAUUUGUCCCUACUUGGCCAGCAGCUGCUGGAGAGGGCAUCCCUGAAUGUCCCUCACAGGCCAGUGCCUGCGCCCUGCUGUCCUGUGCCCCAGCACCCAUGUGUUCCCUGGAGCAAAGCCCUCUCCCUGCAGCCCAGCCCUGGCAUGGCCAGCAGCCUCCAGGGCCAGGGCACCUCAGGGCACCUGCAGCGCCAGCUGCCAGUCACCGUGGGGCUCCCAGGCAGAGGAUGCUAAGUCUCUCCAGACCUGUCACCUCUCGUCCUCCAGGAGAAAGACCUGCAGGAGUGAGAGGGAGUGAUGUGCCCCCAUGUCCACCUCUGCACCACUCCCGGGCAAAGUUGGCUGGCGUCAUCAGAACACUCCCGCAGCUUAGCAGGAGACCCCUGCCAUGAGGCCCUGGCCCUCCAGGAAACAGCCAGGGGGCAACAGCUUGAGAGGAAGGGAGAGAUGAUCACACCUGUCAGAUGUCCCUGAGCCACGGAGCCACUUGGGCAGCAGCAUCACGGGGUGGAGAGGUCUGCAGAGGGAACUGGAGGACAGGAGGCCGGGGCGGCUGCCCAUGUGCUCUCUGAAGGUGCUGAAGGAAGGGUCUGUUAGGCAGGGCCCAGCUGUGAGUGAGGGUGGGAGGGGCAGGAGGGCCUGGUGAGGCCCACUCUGAGCCCCUCCCCACCCUCCCCUUCCCAUUCUUAUUCUUCAAAACUAGAGACCGUUGGAGGCAGAGGAUGGUGGCCCUGGCGGUGGCUGCUGUCAAGAGAAACAGAGAUACUAGGUGUCCUUGAGGGAGCUGAGAGCUGGCCGCGCUCUGUUGGCGGAGUGUGAAUCGGGGCAGUUGCCGUGUGAAUCAGCAUGUGGGGUUUCUCCAAAAAUCAACAGAACUGUCCCCUGACCCAGGAACCCUCACUCAGUCUGCACCCCAAGAGCCAAAUCCAGGCCCUCACAGAGGUAAGGGCCCCUCAGCAGCACAGUGGCCAAGGGAGCAGCAACCCAGGAGCCCGCGGGUGGACACAGGCAGAAGUAGCUGUGAUGCGCACCGUGCGCUGGACGCUGCUGUCUUCUACAGCACUGCUGGCCUCGAGGACAUCAGCUAGAGAGUAAAGGCAAGGCCCUGGAGUCAAGGGACAGCGGGAGGAGGGAGGUCUCCCGGCACCAUGGGGGACGAGAGUUGGCGCUUCUUGGGGACAGAGUCUCAGUUCAGGAAGAUGGAAAGUUCUGGAGCAGGUGGGUGCUGGCUGCAGAGCAACUCACACCCCCGCAGCACUGAGAGGGGCUGGCACCAAGGUCUUCAUGCCCCUGACCCACCAAAACGCUGGGGAACGUCAGUUUCCAGGGGGCAGGGACAGUCCAGGCUGAAGACUGCUCUGCACAGAAGCAGCAGGACACCCGGGGGAGGCUGUGUGUGAGGCAAAGGCUCCCACUGGAGGCCUCCGCGGACCUGCAGGGGGAUUUGGUCUGCCUUUGGAAGGAGCGUGGAGUGUCCACCUGCACUCCUGGAGCAGGCCGCGGUGGCAGUGGAGGCCGGGAGACCCCGAGUGCUGGCUUGGCCCUUGCCCAGGCCUGCAAACUGCAGGAGCUCAGGGCCCCAAAGACCUGAGGAGGCCCAGCCGACAGCUGUUCUGAGCAGACAGCAGACGAGAGGCCAUGUCACCUCCCGCAGGUCCCAGAGGUGUUCCCACAGAAACAGGACUCGCAGAAGACAGAGGAGAGGAACCAGCUGGCUGCACCACGCAUGGCCCCCAGCAAGGUGCCCGACCCCUGAGCCCUCUGUUUUGGGGAAGGCAGUGUGGAAAGCACCCUCCAGCCCACUGGGGAGAAGGGCUUGGGUUCCUGGUUUCUCCCUGGGGGAGCAGACGGCUCCUGUGUCCUGGCCAGACCCACUCUGGCCCCGAGCCCACUAGGCGCAGGUGUCACCUGGGGUGGCACCUUGGCAGUGGGAAGGGUCCUGUGUCUCCUGGCGCCCUAGAGCAGUGCAGGUGGCUGGCAGUGCCAUGUAGGCACGAGGCCCCCCACUCAGGGCCCUGCUGUGGGAGUACUGGCGCUAGGCUGGCAGACCAGGCGUGGCUACAGGGCCUGCAGGGCGCACCCCCGGGUGGGUCCCAUGAUGCCACCUCAGAGACCAGCAAGUGCCUCGGAAUGGGUGACUCCCACGGAAACCAGGCAUAGGGAGGGCCAGGUGGCCUGGGCACCCUCCACUGUGGGGCAGCACCAGGGUCGGUCCUUCACUCCCAGGCUGGGGGACCCAUAGGUGGGCAUCCAGCUGCCUGAGACAGCCCAGGGCAGGGGCUGGUCAGGCCCUGGAAAGAGGGGUGGGGCAGGAGGGACCCAGACCACGUGAGCACAGCUCCCGACCCCGUCCUGGCCCUGUGGAGACGCCUGCCUGCUGGGGCCACCUGCAGGACGCGGAGGUCCGAUGGAGGCACCUAGUGGCUCCUCGUGCCCCAUCUGCUCUCCUGCCUGUCCCUCCUGGAGGACUGGGCUGGGCCAUUCCGGUGGCAGGGAGAGUGCCCAGUGGGGAGUACCCAGCGGGGAGAGGGCGGGCGGGAUCUCCUGCAGCAGGG